rnacentral:tRNA from 1 species
CAAAGAAUAGUUUAGUCUAGAAUUCUAGCUUUGGGAGUUAGGGGUAGGAGUGGAAGUCUCUUUUCUUUGA